AGUAAAAUGCCUGAUUUAAAAGGGUUAUCGUGAUAGGAUAAAUAAUGUAUUUAUUUACUUUUACUA
rnacentral:tRNA from 1 species